AUAGAAGGCCCGGCCCAAUUGUAGAAGCUUCUUCUUCACCCGCCACGCCACCCUAUCGAGCAAUGUCGCUUGCGCCGCCUCCGCCUUCUUCCCCUCGCCUCCGCGCCUUCCGCCGCGACGGAACCCUCUCCUCGGCCGGCCGAUUCCCCAGCAUCACCGGAUGCCUUUCUCCCCGCAGCACUCCCCGCUCCUGUGGCCGCGCCGGACGCGCCUACUGCCUCUUCUCCGGCGGGGACAACCGCAAGAAACAGCGUUGCAGGGUUGAGUUGUCUGUCCAUGGGACUGGACACAUUGCGCGGCCAGUAGAUGAUGGGAUCGGCAAAAUGUGUUUACAGAAUUCGAUGGUUAAAUGAAGACCUGUAUGGGGGAUCUGUUGGGACUGAGUUUCUAUCCAAACCCCCUUAUUUAGUACCAGUUCAUGCGUUUCUGUGUACAUUUUUAUGCGGAUGUUUAUAAUGCUGAAUGCUGUAAUGUAGGCAGAUAGGAAUCGAACCAAGUCAGAUAGAUUGCAAUCGCAAUGCUUAUUCUGCUUGUGUCGUUUCCCUCCUGUUUGUUCGUUGUCGCUAAUGUUUAGUCAUUUAGACAGCCCAGUUGUUGCAAAAUCAUAUGUUACCUCGGAUUCAAAGGUUGUAUUUGGCAUACGAUGCUGAUAUUCUUUAUACCGAAAUCUGGUACUUUUGUGUACAAGACUAGUGAGCUAAGUAGCACUGCUGAUUUCUGCGAGAAUCCAAAAUUACUUACACAAUAUUAGCUAAAAUUGUGCACAAAUUUCCUCACAGGACGAAGCUAGGGGAGUGCUGGAAAAUCCUAUUUCUUUGAUUCUUAUGGGGAUGUAUAUAAUGCUGAAUGUUGUAAUCCUGCCACAUAAUAAUAGAAUAAAUUUGAUGACAACUUAUUCUACUAGUUCAUUUCCCCUUUUUUGACUUCAGUUUGAGCAACCUUGCACUUGUUGUCACAAAACUGUACAUUUCCUAGGUAAAUGUCCCUUUUCUGCAUGCACCAGUUUUCUGUUUUAAAAAGAAGUGUUAAGUACUGUUAGCUAUCAGACUAAGUAGUACUACAGUUUUCUGUGUGAAUCAAAACUACACAUAAAUAUUAUCGCAAAAUUGAACAGUAUUUUCCUGAUAGGAUGAAGCAAGGAAAGCGCUGGAAAAUGCCCUGGGGCAGAAGAAGGCAGAGUUUGACAAGUGGGAUGUGGAGAUUAAAAGGAGGCGGCAAAGGGGGCAGCCUGGAGGUCCUGCUGCUGGUGGUGGAGGAUGGUCAGGAGGAGGCCGGUGGUUCAGGUGGCUUACCAGUGGAGGUUUCUGGGAUGCAGCAAAACAAAUUGUUCUUACAAUCCUGGGCAUUAUCGCAGCGUUUUUCCUGAUUGCAAACUUCAAUGUUCUGGUUGCUGCUGUUAUCAAUUCAUUGCUGCUUGUUCUGCGGACAAUAAGGCGCACACUCUCCUUCAUAGCUCGCUGUGUUUUCCAGGACGCAUUGGUUGAAAGGCCUGGACCAAAAUCAAGUACCCUGGACAACAGCAAUGUGGGUGCAGUGCCUGUGAAAGGAAGAGCUGGAAUGUCUGCGACAGAAAGAGUUGUAAAGAAAUGGAGAACGGACUGAAGUAGAGCACAGUUAUUCUUGUUAGCUUUCGUAUUGUUCAGAGUUUUGCUGUCAUUUUCCCGAUGCUUGUCAUGUUCAUGUAGAAGAUGAAAAUGGUAGAAGUUCUAAUUGGUCUCUGUGAAUGAUAUCUUGGACAUUUCGCAAUUUUCUUGUAGCAUAUGAUUCAUCUGAUCCCUGAACUUUUAUCCACAAUACUGAACUAAAGCAAUUUUUAUGUCAGCUUCGCACACUCAUUGUGAAGUAUGAAGUGUGCAGAAACGUGUUUGGAAUUGUUUUA